rnacentral:snoRNA from 1 species
UUCACGAGUCAGUCAGCUGUUCGGUUCUGGUUUAAUGUCAACCAAAUAGCGUUACACUUGUGAUAGAUCAAUAAAUGCGACUUGCCACUCCCCCGCCCAACUGCAGUCACUGUUCUAGUGUCUGCGCCGGGCAAUGGGUGUGUGUGGCGUGUCGGCGCACUCCCCUAGAGAGUUGAGUCAGUUGAAGGUGGCGCUCCUCGGAAGUCAUCUCCAUCCACCUGAUUCUUAGUUGGGGAGCAGACACU